rnacentral:lncRNA from 1 species
ACCGCAAAAAUCUCUUAAGAUCCCUCUUCCCACCGGGUUUCCUCUUCAAAUCGCCCUUUUAGGAACUAAAUCCCUUUUCUUUUUCUUCUUCGUUUGGGCGGAUCAAGCUUACCCUAGCUUCAAACCUUCUUCUCCAAAUCGAUAGUCCAUCUCCCCAAAAUCUUUAUUUUUUCUCUAAAAUUCUUUUCACUCUAUCUCUCAUUAGGUUUCCUAAGCUGUUUGUAAGUUUCUCUUAUCCGAAAUGGCUUCCAAAUUGAAACUACUGUAGAGAAAAAAGUCUAUUCAUGGGUUAGAGGAGGAUG